CCUACGGGAGUCAGCAGUGGGGAAUAUUGCACAAUGGGGGAAACCCUGAUGCAGCGACGCCGCGUGAGUGAAGAAGUAAUUCGUUAUGUAAAGCUCUAUCAGCAGGGAAGAAAAUGACGGUACCUGAGUCAGAAGCCCCGGCUAACUACGUGCCAGCAGCCGCGGUAAUACGUAGGGGGCAAGCGUUAUCCGGAUUUACUGGGUGUAAAGGGAGCGUAGACGGCAGUGCAAGUCUGGAGUGAAAGGCGGGGGCUCAACCCCCGGACUGCUCUGGAAACUGUACGGCUGGAGUGCAGGAGAGGUAAGUGGAAUUCCAGGUGUAGCGGUGAAAUGCGUAGAUAUUAGGAGGAACACCAGUGGCGAAGGCGGCUUACUGGACUGUAACUGACGUUGAGGCUCGAAAGCGUGGGGAGCAAACAGGAUUAGAUACCCCUGUAGUC
rnacentral:rRNA from 1 species